CCGGGGCAUCCCGGAGGCAGGAAAGGCUUCGGCCGGACAGGGAUGGGCAUGCGGCGCAUUAGGCAGUAGGCGGGGUAACGGCCCACCUAACCGACGAUGCGUAGGGGUUCUGAGAGGAAGGUCCCCCACACUGGUACUGAGACACGGACCAGACUCCUACGGGAGGCAGCAGUGAGGAAUAUUGGUCAAUGGUCGGGAGACUGAACCAGCCAAGCCGCGUGAGGGAUGAAGGUACAGAGUAUCGUAAACCUCUUUUGUCAGGGAACAAAGGCGGGGACGUGUCCCCGGAUGAGUGUACCUGAAGAAAAAGCAUCGGCUAACUCCGUGCCAGCAGCCGCGGUAAUACGGAGGAUGCGAGCGUUAUCCGGAUUUAUUGGGUUUAAAGGGUGCGCAGGCGGUCUGUUAAGUCAGCGGUCAAAGCCCGGGGCUCAACCCCGGCCCGCCGUUGAAACUGGCAGUCUCGAGUUGGAGAGAAGUAUGCGGAAUGCGCGGUGUAGCGGUGAAAUGCAUAGAUAUCGCGCAGAACUCCGAUUGCGAAGGCAGCAUGCCGGCUCCACACUGACGCUGAGGCACGAAAGCGUGGGUAUCGAACAGGAUUAGAUACCCUGGUAGUCCACGCAGUAAACGAUGAAUGCAGGCUGUCCGGG
rnacentral:rRNA from 1 species